GGACGAACGCUGGCGGCGUGCUUAACACAUGCAAGUCGAACGGAAAGGCCCUGCUUUUGUGGGGUGCUCGAGUGGCGAACGGGUGAGUAACACGUGAGUAAUCUGCCCUUGACUUUGGGAUAACUUCAGGAAACUGGGGCUAAUACCGGAUAGGAGCUCCUGCUGCAUGGUGGGGGUUGGAAAGUUUCGGCGGUUGGGGAUGGACUCGCGGCUUAUCAGCUUGUUGGUGGGGUAGUGGCUUACCAAGGCUUUGACGGGUAGCCGGCCUGAGAGGGUGACCGGCCACAUUGGGACUGAGAUACGGCCCAGACUCCUACGGGAGGCAGCAGUGGGGAAUAUUGCACAAUGGGCGGAAGCCUGAUGCAGCAACGCCGCGUGCGGGAUGACGGCCUUCGGGUUGUAAACCGCUUUCGCCUGUGACGAAGCGUGAGUGACGGUAAUGGGUAAAGAAGCACCGGCUAACUACGUG
rnacentral:rRNA from 1 species